GUUAGCCAGUUUAACCAUCUACUUCUGUCUUGAAGUUAGCUCUGGCCAACAUGCUACUGGACUCAUUCCUCCACGAGAAGCACAAAGACAUGCCACUGGAUUAAACCCCAAUAGAGAACAACAACAGUACGCCACUGGUUUAAAUCCGAAACCAAAGGCUGAAAGACCAGUUAGAGAAGCACCUACCUUGAAACUAUCUAAACCGCAUCCUACUGGUUUUAACCCUCAUGAAGAGCAUGUGGUAAAAGGAACUGUUUCUAUUGAUAAAAAAGAACCUCAAAAGCAUUAAACAGAAGUAUGGGUUUUAUUUUUUAAAACUACUUGAAUUAUAAUCAUUAUCUUCACUAAAUCUAUUAAUAGAUCUUUAUUUUAUUCAGAA